rnacentral:rRNA from 1 species
GACGAACGCUGGCGGCGUGCCUAAUACAUGCAAGUCGAGCGGACUUGACAGAGCUUGCUCUGUUCAAGUUAGCGGCGGACGGGUGAGUAACACGUGGGCAACCUGCCCUGCAGAUUGGGAUAACUCCGGGAAACCGGGGCUAAUACCGAAUAACAUUGAAAACCUCAUGGUUUUCUUUUAAAAGGCGGCUUCGGCUGUCACUGCAGGAUGGGCCCGCGGCGCAUUAGCUAGUUGGUGAGGUAACGGCUCACCAAGGCGACGAUGCGUAGCCGGCCUGAGAGGGUGAUCGGCCACACUGGGACUGAGACACGGCCCAGACUCCUACGGGAGGCAGCAGUAGGGAAUCUUCCGCAAUGGACGAAAGUCUGACGGAGCAACGCCGCGUGAGUGAAGAAGGUUUUCGGAUCGUAAAACUCUGUUGUUAGGGAAGAACAAGUACCGGAGUAACCGCCGGUACCUUGACGGUACCUGACCAGAAAGCCACGGCUAACUACGUGCCAGCAGCCGCCGUAAAAC